rnacentral:rRNA from 1 species
UACAGAGGUGGCAAGCGUUGUUCGGAAUUACUGGGCGUAAAGCGCGCGUAGGCGGCGACCUUUGUCAGAGGUGAAAUCCCGAGGCUCAACUUCGGAAUUGCCUUUGAAACGGGGUUGCUAGAGUCCGAGAGAGGAUGGCGGAAUUCCUAGUGUAGAGGUGAAAUUCGUAGAUAUUAGGAAGAACACCGGUGGCGAAGGCGGCCAUCUGGCUCGGUACUGACGCUGAGGUGCGAAAGCGUGGGGAGCAAACAGG